rnacentral:rRNA from 1 species
CUUUACUAUAGCUUUGCAGUGACGCCGGGGAUAUUCCGUGCAGGAUAGGUGGGAGACUUUGAAGUUUGGGCGUUAGCCCAGAUGGAGUCGACGGUGAGAUACCACCCUGAAUCUCUCUUGCGUCUAACUGCGAUCCAUUAUCUGGAUCCAGGACAUUGCAUGGUGGGUAGUUUAGCUGGGGCGGCUGCCUCCUAAAGUGUAACGGAGGCGUACGAAGGUUAGCUCAGCUCGGUCGGAUAUCGAGCUCGUGAGUGUAAUGGCAUAAGCUAGCCUGACUGUGAGACUGACAAGUCAAACAGAGUCGAAAGACGGUCAUAGUGAUCCGGUGGUUCCAUGUGGUGGGGCCAUCGCUCAACGAAUAAAAGGUA